CCAAGGAGCUCAGAACUCUUGGCAGUUCGACGUUUGCAAACAAACCAAAGAGGAGCAGAAAGUUUUCAGACUGAGGCGACAUCCCAACAGCUUGGCUUGAAGGAGUACUUUAGGACUCAGAACAACAGGAUGAAGACAGCAGCUAAAAUAGAACACACCAGCAGAGACAUUCAGCUCCUCGAGCUGUGCUUCCGAAGCUCGAGCAUGGCAGAGUGGCCUUGUUAAAUCAGAGUUCAGGGUGCCACCCUGACAGUUUCUGGUUCUGUAGGUGCCCAGUAGGGACCAAGAAUCCUUUUUUUUUUCCUUUUUCUUUUUAAUAGAGUCAGAGUCUUGCUGUGUUGCCCACAUGGGUCUCAAACUCAAGCAAUCCUCCCACCUCGACCUCCCAAAGCACUGGAAUUCCAGGCAUAAGCCACCGUGCCUGGCCAAGAACAUUUUUUUUUUUUUAACAAGUUUCUAAAUGAUGCUGGUCUACUGGUCCUGGGACCACACUUUGAAAUUGGUGGGAUAGGGGGCUGGGAUCUUUAUCCAUUCACUCAACUCCCAUUCCCCAUGGUUGAAAGUUUCCCUGGGGCAUCCCUGGGAGGCCUGGGGGCUGACAAGAUUCAAACUUUUUGGUGAAAAGCCCCAAGACAGUGAAGUGGGGUGUGCUUGAAGUGGGGCACCGUCAUCACCCACCUACCCACCACAGAGGUGGGCUAAAAGGUAAGGUGUGGCUCACAAAAAUCUUCUGCUAAAUACCUAUCUUUGCCUCCAUUUCUUCCUCUUUAAGACGGGGGUAACUGUACCAGUGUUCUAGGGUAACAUGUACCACCCUUGAAUACAGUGUUGCUCCCUGUCAUGACUCACGGACAGGUUACCAGACCGGAGCCUCCAGCAAUCCAGGAGCACAAACAAGGAUGCCUUAAAACAAAACUUGUGUCAGGGUACCCUUCGCUGCCUCAGAGGAAAUCAGAAUGACCUGGUGGACAACUGUUCAUAAGGACAAGAGCCAGCAUCACUGCCUUUGAGUCCCAGCCUCCUCAAAUCCAUUUUCUGCCCUGCACCACCUCAUCAUAUCCCAGAUAUUGUUAGUGUCGUGUCAUUUCAUGACUCAGGAGCUGCGGGUGACUUUGGUAAGAGCGGAGCGGUCGCUGUCUCAUCUGUCACCUCCUCCCUUCACCUCUGUGCAGCCAACAUCCAGGGAGCCUGCCUCUUGCUGUCCUUUUCAAAGCUUUCUGGGUCUCUCCUCUGUGCCUCUGAUCCAGUCUUUCAUGCUGCCCAGAACACUGUCUCUUUCUCCCAUGCCAGUGACAUCCAUUACUUUCUUCAAGGUCUGGCUCAAAACCCAGCACUCAGCCAGGCACGGUGGCUCACACCUGUAAUCCCACCACUUUGGGAGGCCAAAGCAGGCAGAUCACGAGGCCAGGAGAUUGAGACCAUCCUGGCUAACACAGUGAAACCCUGUCCUACUAAAAAUACAAAAAGUUAGCCAGGCGUGGUGGCAGGUGCCUGUAGUCCCAGCUACUCGGGAGGCUGAGGCAGGAGAGUGGCAUGAACCCUGGAGGCGGAGCUUGCAGUGAGCCAAGAUAGCAUCACUGCACUCCAGCCUGGGUGACAGAGCAAGACUCUGUCUCAAAAAAAAAAAAAAAAAAAAACUCAGCACUCUUGGGAAAUUUCCCCUCCAGGGAGACAAGGUCACACAGGGCACAGAGAACCUUGGUGGGAGGCAGAAGCCCUAGGUUUGUUUAUGUCCUGGCUCAGACACUUUGCAGCCUCAUAGAUGACAUUAAACAAGCUCCUUAGCCUGUUAUCUUAACUUUGGGCUACCCUAAAAGCAGAGACUAUGAUAUGGACUUGGAUAUGUGUAGUUAAUUUGGGAAGUGAUCCAGGGAAGCCAGAAUGAGGGGUGGGAAGUAGGAAAAAUCAAACAACUAUGUGUCAUUGAGCCCACUGCUCCUGUGGGCUACUGGAGAUCAGUCACACGGGGCACUCUCUGUGAACCGUGUUCAAAGCCCCUCAGAAUUGGCCCCCCAAAGAAUGGGAGGCUGGGAUCUCUAUCUGUUGACUCAACUCCUAUUCCCUAUGGUUGAAGGUUGCCCUGGGGGCACCACUGGGGGCUGACAAGACUCAAAGGCUUUCGAGAAAAGCCCUGAAACAGUGAAAUGAGGUGUGCUGGAAGUGGAGCACUGUCACCACCCACCUGCGCACCACAGAGGUGGACUAAGGGUGAAGUAUGGCUGACAAAAGUCUUCUGCUAAAUACCUGUCUGUGCCUCAGUUUCUUCCUCUUUAAGAUGGGGUAACUAUCCACAUUUUAGGGUAGCAUCAAAUGACAGGGGUGACAUAUGCGAAGGCCCCUCCCUCAGCACAUGCCAGCCACCCCAGUUCCCUGACUGUGUCCACUCAACACUUACAACUGUUGUGUUCAUCCUGUCUACGUGCAUGUACGGUCCCUCAGUGUUAUCUAUGGCUAUUUCAGGUCUUUUAUCUUAGCUGAAGAUAAGGGCAGGUUCUUUCCUUCUUUUUUGUCACCCAUCCCAAAGUGCCUACCACACAGCUGAAUGCCAAGUAGGUCCUUGGUACAAAUGGGUGUCGAGUGAAUUUGCUGUCCCAAAACAGUCAUCUGUGAGCCUGUUCUCUUCCACGGAGAUGCCCUGCAAGGCCAUGGAGAAGCCAUAGGGCAGUGUCCUAGCCUGCUUCUUACAGCUGAGAGACCAGCUCCAACAUUGCGUGAGCCCAUGGCCAAACUGCUGGUGAAGUACCAUGCUCUGUGGCAAACACAUGGCAGCUUGGGGAGGGAAGUCUUCUGACGCCCUGAGCCCUGGCAGGGCAAUGGGCAGUAGAUCAAGCUGGCCUGCCCUGCGUGGGCCUUCAGCAGGGAUGCAGGCGAGGCUCCCAGAAGACGAUGACUCAGGCCUGCAUCUGUGACUGGUUAUUCCAGAUGCUGCCCUGCAAUGGGACUGUUCUCUGCUCCCCCCACCCCCAACACCAGUACAGCACGGGAAUGCAUGAGAGUGAGCCUUGGUUUCUUUAGGGGAGUCACUGCGUAAUUGGAGAGCAGUGUUCAUGGGCAAGACAAAGGAGGGCCGGGGCAAGUAAGGGAAGAUGAGAAGAUGAUGUUCCGAGCUACUCUCGGCAUAAAAUGUGCUUUGAAUAUUUUGGAUUAUUUUUCCAAUUGUAGAGAGAGUUUUCCCUGAGACACUGGUUCGUCACCAAGUCAGGUGACGCUGGGUCUGGGGCACUCUGCAUCUACAGCCUGGAACACAAUCGUCUUCUCUAGGCAAAACCACGUGACUCACAUGAGGCUCAAAGCUGGACCCUUCUUGCCGUCUAUACCAUACUUAGCAAAGACAACAGGCUUAACUGCUCUGUGAAAAAUGCUAAACAACUUCUCAAAAACAAUAAACAUCUUCUACCUACCUGAAUGUUUACAUUUAGACAGGCCUUUAAGAUUAUUAGUCUCUAUAAAAAUAUACAGGCAUACCUCAGAGAUAAUUCAAGUUCAGUUCCAGGCCACUGCAAUAAAGCAGAUAUCACAAUAAAGCAAGUCACACAAAUUUUGUGGUUCCCCAGUGCUUAUCAAAGCUGUGUUUGCACUAUACUAUAGCCUAUUAAGUGUGCAAUGAUAUUAUGUCUUUAAAAAAAGUACACAUGUCAUUUUAAAAAGACCUUAUUGACAAAAAGUGCUGACAGACACAAAGUGAGCAUAUGCUCUUGGGGAAAAUGGCACCGAUAGACUCAUUCGAUGCAGGGUUGCCGUGAAUCUUCAAUUUGUAAAAAACACAAUACCUGCGAAGCAUAAUAAAGUGAAAUGCAAUAAAACAAGGUAUACCUGUAAACAACUCUAAAAUCAGUUAUUUACUCUUUUUUCCCUUCACCUGGAAUUCCUACCUGGUUAUCUCUAACUACAGUAAUCCCAUCCUUAAGACCUUGCUCAAAUGCCCCCUCCUCCAGGAAGUCCUCAUGAUCACCUCCACCCAAAAGAGCUCUUCCCUGGAGACAGAGGGAAGGCAGUCACAAAAAAGACAGUUUGUCUCCUUUAUAGUUUGACCUCACAUAAACUUUGGUGUCCUGGGAAGAAUAAUGCCAACAUUUCCACACUAUACAUGUGGAAAUGGCUUCAAACUCAUAUAAAUCUUUGGUUUAAUAACCCUGUAUAAAUGCAGUUGGAGAGAGGGAGGAUGAGGGAGAUUUAAAAAUAAGAGGCCAACGGAGAGGAGGCUAUUAAACUAUGUGGCAAUGAUUUAUUGAUUGAGAAGUAAAGGGAAUUCCUCUCUGUCUUCUUCUAAAUGAUCGGUUUCCAACUUCUAAACACUCCCAGAUGUGGAAUGCAUGUUUCUUCCUUCCAUUCCUCUCUGCAGGCUGCCCUGACAUUUGUUAAAUUGGCUCCUGGGUCCUGGUUUGCAAAUGUUGCCACUUUGAGAUCCGUAGAUGGUCAUCCCUGGCUCCCUUGGGGAGUGUCCUGGAAUCCACCAGCUCCAUCUGCUCGACAAGAGACUUGAGUUUGUUCUGUUACCUCUUUCAUCAUUAGCCAAAGCUCCGGGACUUGGUUAAAACUUUAGGCAAUUAAAAAGACUGACUUAUG